GGGCACCAGGGAGCUGGGAUCUCAGAAGCCAAAAGGACGCCGCCCCCAUCCAGAGCGCACGAACCUGCAGACUAAAUGCAAAGGCUAACAAAGCCAAGCACCAGGCAACAGCUGCCAACCUCCCGAGACGUGGAGCUGUCCAGGGGCAGAGACAGGAGAGGCAGCCUCGUGCCACCGCAUAGAACCCCGGAGCCACACAGACCCCUGGAGCCCCACCAACUGUGAGAAGGCUCCUGCCUCUCCCCGUGGGCAUGCCUGCUCCAUACCCCUCCUUACCACCCCAACCCACAGCGAGACACCUGGAGUGGAGGACGGCAGGUAGCUCAAAGAUGAAGGCGAUGAUAGCCCCGCCCUGCCCUGCCUGGGCCACCAUGUUUGUCGGGUUCUCAGAGCCUAAAUUCAAUGAUUCAGUGAUUGCCCCCUAUAACCCCCUCUGCGGCCCUCUAUCAUACUCCCCUGGAUGGGCCACUCAUAUUUAUCAGGCAUUUACUAUGUGCCAGACACGGCUCUAAGCCCUUUACAUGCCUCAACCUACUUUAUCCACGCAAGGUAGACGUUCUCAUUAUUCCCAGUUGGCUGACGAAGAGACUGAGACCCAAAGGCCUUAGGGAAAUUGUCUAAAUUCACACCACUGAUGCGUGGCAGAGCUGCGACUGAGUCCCGGGAGUCUGGCUCCAGAGUGGUCAUAACUUCAACUACCACCUACACCUGCUGCCCCACCCAUGGCCUCGGCACUCCUUGAGGGCCAGGACCAGGACCACCUCUGUGUCCCUGGAGACAGCACAGAGUCUAGCAUGCAGCUGAGCUUAAUAACUAUUUGCAAAGUGAAUACAUGAAAAAAG
rnacentral:lncRNA from 10 species